UUCAUGUCCUGUGUGCAGUGUAUCGGGUUUUGCUUCCCCUUGUUAGGUCUGAUUUGCCCCAGCUGUGUUAACACCUGUUCCCCAUCCUCUUGUUGGCCGGCUUGUGUUUAAGUCCCGUGUUUUUCUUUUACAGUUGUCGUGUUGUAUCUGCUUCCUUUUGUGUGUUGUCUCUUUGCUCCCUGGUUUGAAGUGUUAAUUCUGAGUUUCCAAGUUCAGGUUUUUCUUUUUGUUUGUUUUUCAAGAGUUUAUUUAAUGGAGUGUUUUUCCCAGCAAUAAAGCUGCCGUAUUAAGUUACGUUUCCGUGUUCGAGUCCUGCAAUUGGGUCUCUCCUCCUGCCUGCCCCACAGCGAACCUUGACACCGAGGGAAACGGCACUUGUCCCUCCUGCUUAUUGUGGAGUGUAACCUUUGUUUUCUUCAGAGAUUUCAUGCGCGAUGACAGACAGAACUGCAUAGUGAAAGUGAAGCAUAUGAGGAACCAUGAAGUCAUUAUUCCAUAGCAAGACAUUAGUCUGCUCAGUGUUCUUCAAGGCAGAUGUCCUCCCAGAUGCAUACUACAACCAAGAGCAAGCCAAACACUGGUCGUGAAAAGGACUAUCUCUAGUAGACUUUGUUUUAACCUCCUAGGACCUGGAGUCCAUAUAUGUGGACAUUACAUUUUGGGUUGUCUAGACCAAAAUAUAAAAUGUUGU